rnacentral:rRNA from 1 species
GACGAACGCUGGCGGCGUGCUUACACAUGCAAGUCGAAUGCUGAACCGGUUUCGGCCGGGGAUGAGUGGCGAACGGGUGAGUAACACGUGGGUAAUCUGCCCUGCACUCUGGGNUAGCCUUGGAAACGNGGUCUAAUACCGGAUAUCACCUUCUCUCGCAUGGGAGAGGGUUGAAAGUUCUGGCGGUGCAGGAUGAACCCGCGGCCUAUCAGCUU